AACUGGCCCUAGAAUUGAGCCCUGAGGAGCGCCGCUGGUGACUGGUCACCAGUCAGGUGUAGCCCAGUGCUGGUGCUUCACUCUCUUUCUCCUUCCCUGGGACAAGGGGGAAUACCUUGUUGCUUCCAGGCAUUUUCUUUCUGAGAAAGCCCAACACACACAGAGCUUUUUCUAGAACUCAGAGAACACAGAGAAAUCGCAGUCAGUAGAAAUAGGAAUAUCCAUUCAGCAUAUCACAUUGCUUUCCUUUUUAGCCUACCUAAAACAAAUCUUCAACAAUAGCCUGCCAAUGAAGCUGUACCUGCCUAUUCCAGAAGUCUCGCUUUGGGGAUUACUCAGUCACCUCUCAUUUG